GUCAAGUUGUGACAUUUUUUGUAUACAGGACAUCCUGGGAUGGCCAUCUAAAGGCUGUUUGGGUGACUAGUGUAGAUAGAAUUCUCUUGAAUUUUAAAGUAACUUAUUUGUAAUGUUUUGUUUAUAAGUGAAGUGAUGCCCAAUGUGGGUUCUCCCUAGACUUUUAACCCUGGGGCAGGUGGUAUUUAAAGCAUUAUUUUGAAAUGUUCAAAAGCAUAGUAUGUGCUUUUUAAUGGAACGUGUUUUGGAAGCUUUCCAUGAGCAUCAGCAGCUGUGCUUUUAGAAUAUCUUGAAUUACCAUCCUUUUGGGUAGACAUUGUACCACUUCUUAAGAAAUACAGCUCCUGUGUUAAAGUAAAUAUCAUGUGUGGGUCUGUGGAGCUGGGACUGGUCUAAAGAUGUAGUAGGAAGGACAUGUAGGUGUGGUUUUGUGAUAGUAGUAGUUGCAAAGUUAGGAAGAUGUAUUUGGAGAAGGGUUGUGCUAUGUCUUUUAAAAAUUGCCUUUCACAGAGACUAGUUCAUCUAAUAAGUGCUUAACUGAUUAAUGAGCUGAUCAAA
rnacentral:lncRNA from 1 species